ensembl:snoRNA
GCAUGGGUUUGGAUUUAGGGCAGGCCUGUCACCCUGGGCCUCUCAUAGUGUCCCAUGCCAGGCCAAACUAUGGCUUUAAGACCAUUGCCUAACCUCUGUGCCUGUAGGCUGCUAGCACUAAUGUGGGUUGUGCUUUA